ACGAUUGAAGUAACCCGGGACCCCGCAAGGGGCCUCCGGGCACACCUUCCACCCUUUGUUUACCAACUUUGUUGCUUUGGCAGGCCCGUCCUCGGACCGCCGGCUCCGGCCGGCCCGUGCCUGCCAGAGGACCCAAACUCUGUUUGUCUUUGCAGUCUGAGUACUAUAUAAUAGUUA
rnacentral:misc_RNA from 1 species